UUCUUCUAUAUCUAUUACCUAUAUAAAAAAGAAUGUAAGAACGCUUUGGUGUAACCUGCUACUUGUUUGGUUUGUGAUACCUCUUUCCUUGCAGAUUGUGGCUGGACACAUGGGUUUCAAAUUACCCACACAAACAAUAGUAGAAGAAAACAAAUGUUAUCAGUCCUGCUAUAAAUUUCUUACUCCUUCAUGCUGCUGUUUGUUUCUCUUUCAAAGCUUUUCCUGCAGAUUUUUUUGACGCUGCUGUUUGCUUCAUUUCCAACUCUUUCCUUGUAGAUUUUGGGUUGGACACGUGGGCUUCCAAUCAUCUACAUACACAAUAUAAGAAGAAAACAAAUACCACCAUCCCUCCUAGAAAUUUCCCCCACCGGUGCUCCUGGCUAUUUUCCAAAGCUUCUCCCUGCAAAAUUUUCUUGCAUUUUUUGGGUUACCCAUGUGGGAUUCAAAUCACCCACGCCAACAAUGAAGAAGAAAACAAAUUUCACCACUUCGAAGAGCAAACCUCACCGCCCCACAGGUCUAACUCGCACUAAUGAUGAUGGCUGGAAACAAAUUUCAUUCCUUGGUACAUGUUAAAUAGAUGCACACCAAGUGUUUGUCAAUAUGUCUCAAUGAACAAAAAGUUUACCAGCCUGAUUUGGAAGGUUGAUGCAGUGACUUGGUAUCACAUUAAAGAUGGUGGCUUGAGCUUUUUCAAUGAUAUAGCACUUGUGAUGUACAAUAAUUACUUCUUCACAUCAAUUCGGAUUUAUUUGGGAGAAUCAAAUAUUUCAUGGAUGUGAAGUUUUGAUCCAUAUCCUCAAGUGUAUUCUGAAAUGUUUUUUACUUACCUAAAGAAAGAGAUGUUUUUGUGUAUAUAGUUUCUGUCUACAACAGGGAAUUACAACAUUACCUAGGCAAUUAGAAAUUAAAAUUAAUGGAGCAUUUCUUUCAAUUAAGUCAAUAGUUGUUUGGAUAUUUAAAGUGACGGACAAGGAUACACAUACAUAUACAGCAUAUAAUUACUAUCAUUUAUUUCAUAUCUUGUAAUAAAAAUAUACUAUGUUUAUCUGUUGCUCUAUACAUAAUCUUAGAUAUAUAUUUCAAUUAUCUACAUUAAUAAUGUCGUGACCUCUAUGCGCUUCGCUCGUGGGGGUCCAACUAGUAUAUAAAAAGAAGGUAACAGUGGUAUAACAGAUGGUGUACCGAUGGGGCUUAGCCACACACGACGGUAGAAACAGGCAAGCUUAGCCACACACGAUGGUAAAAACAAACAAGUUCCAAAGCUCCUCGUAGAAAUUUUCCAAAACGGUGGUUUGCUCUUUGCCUAUUUCCCAAAGCUCCUCCCUGCCAAAUUUGGUUGCAGAAUUUGGGUUAGUCACGUGGAGUUCAAAUGAGCCAUGCCGACAAGGAAAAAGAAAACAAAGGGUACCCCUUCGAACAUCACAUAUACAUAUAUAUAUAUAUGUAUAUAUAUCUGGUAGAUGGAGUUGCUGCUAUCAUGUUCUUCCUUACUAUCGAUACUGUUACUGCUGUAGCGUUGUCAGAAUUGGGUAUCCAAAGCUUCGUUCCUGCCGUUGCAAAUCCUGGUAAUUACAUUUGUAAUUUCAUGCCUACUAUUUACAAGUGUGUUGAACAAUAUUUACCCACACUGUUUUUCACCCCUGCCUACGUGUUUGUGGCCUCUUUGUUUUGACCCCUACCCUUGCACACCAUUUGUUUGUCAAUAGGUCUCAAUAAACAAAGAGUUUGCUAGGAAUCGUAAAGAAACGGGAAAAUUUCAACAUUUCCAAGCCAGCCAACUUCCAACCCCACUCAAACAAGGACAAUAAUUCCCAAGUUAUGAAAUUUUUAUAGCUAAUAAGACAGUUUGAUUUUCCAAAUUCCACAUCCUGGAAGGUUUACUGAUGCUUGGUUUGAUAACAACUAUGGGGACACGAAGAUUGAGAACAAAUUAGUUAUUCCGUCCACCAUUUACAGACUAGAAACUCCUGAUUAAAGAAUAGAUUAACAAUUUGUUAGUCCGUGCUAAAUCAUGUAAAUCAUAAAUUGACAGCAAUCACACAUAAAUUACAAAGAAAUUUAUAAGAAGGAGAAAAAAGGAAAGAAGUGUUUAUCACUUGAGUGAAGCCCAAAAAAAAAAAUCAUAGGAGAUAAAAUCUGGUGUUCCAUCACAAUUUAUUGAUUGAAAUCUCCGCAAUCCAAUUUACUCUAUUAGAGUCUUCAAUUUGGGUGAAAGAAAGAAGCAACAGUAAGAAAGAAAUUCUACAAGUAAAGAUUCUGCUAGAAACUCAGAUCAUGAUGCCGCAAUAGCUCAUUAUAUGUAUGUCCAUACAUGCUCUAUCUGGUGCAUGUUCUACCAUGUGCAACAACUUCCAGAAACUCAGGAGAUAGGAAGAUCAGAAGAUCAAGCGAUGGGAGAGGAGUCGUGACAAAAAAGGGACACAAAGAUUUCUUGAGAUGCGUCGCUUGCGAUUUGAUAUACAUCGUGGG